rnacentral:tRNA from 1 species
GGCAGAAUAGCCAAGAGGUUAAGGGCAUAAGUUCUGUACGUGGAGGUCCUGGGUUCAAAUCCUUGCUUUGCCA